UUAAAGUUUACAUAACUCAGCCGGGCACGGUGGCUCACGCCUGUAAUGCCAGCUGUUGGGAGGCCAAGGCAGGUGGAUCACUUGAGGUCAAGAGUUUGAGACCAGCCUGGUCAACAUGGCGAAACCCUGUCUCUACUAACAAUACAAAAAAAAAAAAAUUAGCCAGGCAUGGUUGCAGACGCCUGUAAUCUCAGCUUCUCAGGAGGCUGAGGCAGGAGAAUUGCAUGAACCUAGGAGGCGGAGGUUGCAGUGAGCCAAGAUCGCACCACUGCACUCCAGCCUGGGCAACACAGCAAGGCUGUCUCAAAAAAAAAAAAAAAAAAAAGUUUACUUAAUUGAUGUACUGUUAGUCUGGUUCUAUUUCCAACUUUUGCCAUUGAACCCUUUUGAGCUCUCCCAUCCUGCUGUUUCUUGUGUUGCUUCUGCAUAGGACCCCAUCAUGUGUACCAUUCACAUUUUACUUCUCUGUUUCCCAAACAAAGGGCGUGUAGACUGGCACAAACUCCCUGGUACCACACACAGUGCCCAGAUGACCUUCUUAUAUGUGUCCCGUCACAGACCUGCCCUGUAUGAGACUCAGGGCCAUAAACCCAAGAGUGGGAUCAAUUGAAGGUAUAUUCUUGAUUUUGCUAAAUAACCAAACAGCUGUACUCAUUUAUACUUCUCAUGGAGAACAGGGAGUUUUCUGACAUCCCACAUCCUCACCAAUAGUGAUUGUUCCCUCCCUUUCUGGUUUUGCCCUUUUGGAGACAGAGGUAAAAUAGUAUCUCAUUUUUAUUUGCAUUCUCUGCUUAACAGUAAAUUUGAGCCUCUCUUCAUAUAUGUUAGCCAUUCAGACUUCCCUGACUGUGAAUUGCAUGCUCAUAUCUUUUGUAUCAUCUGCCAUUUUCUCAACUGCUUCUUGUUAUUUCCGUAUUGAUUUUCCAGGGGUUCUUUGUAUACAGUAAUUUGCAGGAGUUGUUUGUUACAAACUUUAUAAAUAUCUUCUCCUAGUCUCUCUUAACUCUGUGCUAUGAUACUAUUUAAUAACCUGGGGGUUUUGUGUUAGUUUAUUAUAUAUUGAACAUGUUCCAUGUCUUUAAAUAUUUAUUUGUUUUUACUACAUAAUUUUAAUGGUAAUAAGCUGGUAUUUGAGAAAUUGUUUCACAAACAAACAUUAAUACUGCCCCCUCCAGCCUCAUCUCUCAUUUCCCCAUCUGUGCUCCAGCCAUCCCCAGGUCUCAGUUGUCUUAUUUGUCUGAGAACCUCAGCCUGGGUCAGAGGCUCCUGUGAUCUCUCUGCCAAAGCACUCUGUGCUUCUCCCUCUUGGGCCUUC
rnacentral:lncRNA from 1 species